rnacentral:misc_RNA from 1 species
AACGCAUAUUGCGCUCUCUGGUAUUCCGGGGAGCAUGCCUGUUUCAGCAUCAUUUGACCAUAUCAAAAUCAACCAUUUUUGAUUUUGGAUUUGGGCCGACUUGCUGGACUUUUUAUGAUAAAUCAUAUUGUCGUACAGCAGGCCUGAAAUUUUAUACAUUGUAAAUGCAAGAAAUUUUGGAGACGCUGACACGUCCAAAAACGAAAGGCUUAUUAGUUGACAUCUUGUCAAAUGUGCCGAUAAUCGCUUUUGAUAACGAUCAGCAUGUCCCCAUCACAAAUUGAUCUGAAAUCAGGUAGGAUUACCCGCUGAACUUAA